CCUACGGGAGGCAGCAGUGGGGAAUAUUGGGCAAUGGAGGCAACUCUUACCCAGCAAUGCCGCGUGAAUGAAGAAGGUCUUCGGAUUGUAAAGUUCUUUAAUUGGGGACGAAAAAAAUGACGGUACCCAAGGAAUAAGCCCCGGCUAACUACGUGCCAGCAGCCGCGGUAAUACGUAGGGGGCAAGCGUUGUUCGGAAUGACUGGGCGUAAAGGGUGUGUAGGCGGUAUGGUAAGCCAGAUGUGAAAGCCUUGGGCUUAACCCGAGGAUUGCAUUUGGAACUAUCAAGCUAGAGUACAGGAGAGGAAAGCGGAAUUCCUAGUGUAGCGGUGAAAUGCGUAGAUAUUAGGAAGAACACCAGUGGCGAAGGCGGCUUUCUGGACUGAAACUGACGCUGAGGCACGAAAGCGUGGGGAGCGAACAGGAUUAGAUACCCGAGUAGUC
rnacentral:rRNA from 1 species